CGGGGCUGCGACGGCUCGCUUGGGAUGGUGGUUCCAAGCUGUAGUUGAGCAUUCGCCUGGAGCUUUGGCCCGCAAUGUCUCGAGAACGGUUGACCGUCUGCCGGCGGAACGGGGUAUCGCUGUAUUCGGGAGGACAUGCUCUGCAACCCUGUUGAGUUUCGUCAAAAUCGGUGGAUUCCACUUGGGGGGACCUCUCCUUGUAAGAUCCCUUUGCUCAGACAUGUUAACUGUAUGACUACUCUCGCAUCGAAAAAAUCUGCUCUUAUUUCAUCUUUGUCGAUCGACCAUUCCAUUGCGAUUAAAGUGAUUAUUAAAUGUAAUUACAGUAUUGGCAAUAAAACAGUAUUUUCAUUCUGAUUUC
rnacentral:lncRNA from 1 species